CUCGUAGUUGGAUUUCUGUUAAUACUUAUAUACAAUACCACGGUAUUUAUAUAACAUUAACAUAAUUCACAUUACUUAUUUAAAGUAUGUGAAACUUUACUUUGAGAAAAUUAGAGUGCUUA
rnacentral:rRNA from 1 species